AAGUAUUUGGGACUGGUUUUAUUCA
rnacentral:piRNA from 1 species